GACGAACGCUGGCGGCGUGCUUAACACAUGCAAGUCGAACGGAAAGGCCUGCUUUCCCUUGUGGAUUGCGGGUACUCGAGUGGCGAACGGGUGAGUAACACGUGAGUGAUCUGCCCCCAACUUGGGUAUAAGCCUGGGAAACUGGGUCUAAUUCCCGAUAGGACUGCAGGGUGGUGCCUGUGGUGGAAAACGAUUUUCUAGUGGUUGGGGAUGAGCUCGCGGCCUAUCAGCUUGUUGGUGGGGUAAUGGCCUACCAAGGCGGCGACGGGUAGCCGGCCUGGGAGGGUGGACGGCCACAUUGGGACUGGGAUACGGCCCAGACUCCUACGGGAGGCAGCAGUGGGGAAUAUUGCACAAUGGGCGGAAGCCUGAUGCAGCGACGCCGCGUGGGGGAUGACGGCCUUCGGGUUGUAAACUCCUUUCGACCGCGAGGAAGCCACCUGGUUGGAAGGGUGGUGACGGUAGUGGGAGAAGAAGCACCGGCUAACUACGUG
rnacentral:rRNA from 1 species